rnacentral:rRNA from 1 species
GAUGAACGCUGGCGGCGUGCCUAAUACAUGCAAGUCGAUCGCGAGAAUGAGGAGCUUGCUCCUCAUAAUCGAGCGGCGGACGGGUGAGUAACACGUAGGCAACCUACCCUUGAGAUUGGGAUAACUACCGGAAACGGUAGCUAAUACCGGAUACGACUUUUCCACACAAGUGGAACAGUUAAAAGGCGGAUUUAUCUGCCGCUCCUGGACGGGCCUGCGGUGCAUUAGCUAGUUGGUGAGGUAGUGGCUCACCAAGGCAACGAUGCAUAGCCGACCUGAGAGGGUGAUCGGCCACAGUGGGACUGAGACACGGCCCAGACUCCUACGGGAGGCAGCAGUAGGGAAUCUUCCGCAAUGGACGCAAGUCUGACGGAGCAACGCCGCGUGAGUGAUGAAGGGUUUCGGCUCGUAAAACUCUGUUGUUAAGGAAGAACACUUGAGGUAGUAACUGGCCUUGAGAUGACGGUACUUAACCAGAAAGCCACGGCUAACUACGUGCCAGCCGCCGCAGUAA